UUAAAUUGAAGAGUUUGAUCAUGGCUCAGAUUGAACGCUGGCGGCAGGCCUAACACAUGCAAGUCGAACGGUAACAGGAAGCAGCUUGCUGCUUUGCUGACGAGUGGCGGACGGGUGAGUAAUGUCUGGGAAACUGCCUGAUGGAGGGGGAUAACUACUGGAAACGGUGGCUAAUACCGCAUAACGUCGCAAGACCAAAGAGGGGGACCUUCGGGCCUCUUGCCAUCAGAUGUGCCCAGAUGGGAUUAGCUAGUUGGUGAGGUAACGGCUCACCAAGGCGACGAUCCCUAGCUGGUCUGAGAGGAUGACCAGCCACACUGGAACUGAGACACGGUCCAGACUCCUACGGGAGGCAGCAGUGGGGAAUAUUGCACAAUGGGCGCAAGCCUGAUGCAGCCAUGCCGCGUGUAUGAAGAAGGCCUUCGGGUUGUAAAGUACUUUCAGCGGGGAGGAAGGUGUUGUGGUUAAUAACCGCAGCAAUUGACGUUACCCGCAGAAGAAGCACCGGCUAACUCCGUGCCAGCAGCCGCGGUAAUACGGAGGGUGCAAGCGUUAAUCGGAAUUACUGGGCGUAAAGCGCACGCAGGCGGUCUGUCAAGUCGGAUGUGAAAUCCCCGGGCUCAACCUGGGAACUGCAUUCGAAACUGGCAGGCUUGAGUCUUGUAGAGGGGGGUAGAAUUCCAGGUGUAGCGGUGAAAUGCGUAGAGAUCUGGAGGAAUACCGGUGGCGAAGGCGGCCCCCUGGACAAAGACUGACGCUCAGGUGCGAAAGCGUGGGGAGCAAACAGGAUUAGAUACCCUGGUAGUCCACGCCGUAAACGAUGUCUACUUGGAGGUUGUGCCCUUGAGGCGUGGCUUCCGGAGCUAACGCGUUAAGUAGACCGCCUGGGGAGUACGGCCGCAAGGUUAAAACUCAAAUGAAUUGACGGGGGCCCGCACAAGCGGUGGAGCAUGUGGUUUAAUUCGAUGCAACGCGAAGAACCUUACCUGGUCUUGACAUCCACAGAACUUUCCAGAGAUGGAUUGGUGCCUUCGGGAACUGUGAGACAGGUGCUGCAUGGCUGUCGUCAGCUCGUGUUGUGAAAUGUUGGGUUAAGUCCCGCAACGAGCGCAACCCUUAUCCUUUGUUGCCAGCGAUUAGGUCGGGAACUCAAAGGAGACUGCCAGUGAUAAACUGGAGGAAGGUGGGGAUGACGUCAAGUCAUCAUGGCCCUUACGACCAGGGCUACACACGUGCUACAAUGGCGCAUACAAAGAGAAGCGACCUCGCGAGAGCAAGCGGACCUCAUAAAGUGCGUCGUAGUCCGGAUUGGAGUCUGCAACUCGACUCCAUGAAGUCGGAAUCGCUAGUAAUCGUGGAUCAGAAUGCCACGGUGAAUACGUUCCCGGGCCUUGUACACACCGCCCGUCACACCAUGGGAGUGGGUUGCAAAAGAAGUAGGUAGCUUAACCUUCGGGAGGGCGCUUACCACUUUGUGAUUCAUGACUGGGGUGAAGUCGUAACAAGGUAACCGUAGGGGAACCUGCGGUUGGAUCACCUCCUUACCUUAAAGAAGC
rnacentral:rRNA from 3 species